rnacentral:lncRNA from 1 species
GCGUAAUCAUAAGGUUUUCCCAAGGUGCAACAUGUUCACAGACAGCUGUAGUAGGAGCUGGAGGGAAGGCCAGGCUGGUACUUUUGCAAUUGCUAGAGGAAGUCUUUCCUAGAGGCUGUUUUCAGUGUGGCACAGUGUAGACCUCCAGGAAAGGUAGACAUGGUGGGAACGUGCUUUGUAACCACGAGCAUCGAGCAAAGAAGCUAGAGACCUAAGUUCUGGUCGUCUCUCAAGAGCAAGAAGACACUUUAAAGCACUGUAGUGCUUUCAAGUUCAGAGACAUGGUGGCACUGAGUUCUCCAGGCAGCAGAUGACAGUGACCUUGGGGUGAGUGGUGUUCGAGAAUAGAAUGAUGAGCCCUGUCUUCUACAAUGAGCUGAGAAGGCUCGCUGGUAGUCUGGGUGGAGAUGAGGAAGGCGCAUAGCUGACUCUUGGGUCGUUUGUUUGUUUGUUUUUCAAGACAGGUUUUCCCUGUGUAGCCCUGACUAUCCUGAAACUUGCUCUGUAGACUGGGCCAGCCUGCAACUCAGGUAUCCACCUCUGCCUCCCUGGGGCUGGGUUGAAAGGUGUGCUCCACCACUGCCCAGGCAGAUUUGUAAAACCCUGAGCUCUGAGCAUCUAUCUGCUCCUUGAAGACUUUUGUGCCUGGUGCAUUCAACUCUGAUGCCUUCAGAGGUGAGUGGAUUUCCAUUCCAGAGAAUGAAAAAAAUGAGCAGAAACCCUGCUGAACCUGGGGGCCACUGAGAAGGUCAUUUCCCCCCAAGCAACCCCUUGUUAUUUAAGCACUCACAUUCAUCUCCCCAACUCACCCAAAUCCAAAACGCGCAUCCUUUCCCUCUCUGACCUCUCAGACCUACACAGACUUUCAGACACUCCCCACAGGCUACUCCAUUCUGGCCCUAUUUAUCCUCAUCUCCCCAAAGCUCCUGCACCCCGCCUUUCUCCUCCCGACCUCCCCCUCGUUCUAGCCCCAGCUUCCCUCUGCCUCCACUUCACCCUAUUAAGAAACAACCGCCCCACAGAAGCCUCUGCCCCUGGCGGCAGCUCCCUGAGCCCCGCCCGCCCUCCCUCCUCCUGCAACUGCUCCUCUCCCUGACAGAUGCCUCAGAGCCCCGGGCCGCAGUUAAGGUGACGAGAUGCAGCAAUUCUUUAUGAACAUUUCAUUCCUGCUCGCUACACGACGUAAAUUAGAUGGUGUGUUACAUUCGGGCAAUAAGAGAGAUAUGUCACCACGACGCUGGCCCAUUGGAUGGAGAGGGGGUUUGGCGAAGAGCGGAAAGGAUUUCACCCUGAUGUGCACACUACUGAGUGACCCCGCUCACCAGCGGCUCUGCUGAUUGCUUUGCACCUUGCAGACUUCGAUACUGGCUCAGCCUCUUGCCGGCCUCGCUCCCUCCGCUCCCUCUGGGUCUCCAGCCCACCCUUCCCCUGCCUGGCUUUCUCUUGAAGCCAAAGCCAAGAGACCUAACAGAGGAGUCACAAAGGUCACGAAGGGAUGGAUGUCUCUGUGGGGAGGAGCAGGGCGGCAGAGCUAACACCAAAAUAAAACAAAAAUCCUUCAGGGACUAGACUCUCCUGACCGGGUGCUGGGGUCACUCACUCUCACCACACCGGAGAAUGGAUAAGAAAGCCCAUGUCCCUCUCUCUCUAGGCCGGAGCUGAUAAACCCCUUAGGUGUCUCCAGCAGAGACUACUAAGCUUUCCCUGGGCUCCUGUCCCGUGGCCUCCUGUGUCUCUGGAGUGGAUUCCUUUCCGUCCACUUUCUCUUCAUACCUAAUUAAGUCAUCCAGCCCUAUAUUCACC